AGUGAACGCUGGCGGCAGGCCUAACACAUGCAUGUCGAGCGGCAGCGGGUCCUUCGGGCUGCCGGCGAGCGGCGGACGGGUGAGGAAUGCGUCGGAAUCUGCCUUUUUGUGGGGGAUAACGUAGGGAAACUUACGCUAAUACCGCAUACGACCUACGGGUGAAAGUGGGGGACCGCAAGGCCUCACGCAGAAAGAUGAGCCGACGUCGGAUUAGCUAGUUGGCGGGGUAAAGGCCCACCAAGGCGACGAUCCGUAGCUGGUCUGAGAGGAUGAUCAGCCACACUGGAACUGAGACACGGUCCAGACUCCUACGGGAGGCAGCAGUGGGGAAUAUUGGACAAUGGGCGCAAGCCUGAUCCAGCCAUGCCGCGUGUGUGAAGAAGGCCUUCGGGUUGUAAAGCACUUUUGUCCGGAAAGAAAUCCUGUCGGCUAAUACCCGGCGGGGAUGACGGUACCGGAAGAAUAAGCACCGGCUAACUUCGUG
rnacentral:rRNA from 1 species